rnacentral:lncRNA from 1 species
GGGCGGCAGAUUGAUUGGCUAGAAUAUCCUGAAUAUCCGUGUUGACCUCCAAGGGAGUUGUACCUUCAACGGAGGUACCAAUCUCCAAAGCCUGUUCCCGCAUCUUCCGCCUGUGACGUUUUUUAACUCUUUUGGCAGCUGGUCCCUCAGUGCUGAUUCCAGGAGCAGGUAUCUCAUUUUUCUGUGUAAUAACAUUGUCAACAAUAUUGUCUGUUUGAUUUUCAGACAAAGGGGCGGCAGAUUGAGUGGCUAGAAUAUCCUGAGUAUCCAUGUUGACCUCCAAGGGAGUUGUAUCUACCUCCAAGGGAGUUGUACCUUCAACCGAGGUACCAAUCUUCAAAGCCUGUUUCUGCGACUUCGUCUUCCGCCUGCGACGUUUGUCAACUCUUUUGGCAGCUGGUCCCUCAGUGCUGAUUCCAGGAUCAGGUACCUCAUUUUUCUGUGUAGUAACAUUGUCAACAAUAUUGUCUGCUUGAUUUUCAGACACAGGGGGGGCAGAUUGAUUCGGUAGAAUAUCCUGAAUAUCCAUGUUGACCUCCAAGGGAGUUGUACCUUCAACCGAGGUACCAAUCUUCAAAGCCUGUUUCUGCGACUUCGUCUUCCGCCUGCGACAUUUGUCAACUCUUUUGGCAGCUGGUCCCUCAGUGCUGAUUCUAGGAUCAGGUACCUCAUUUUUCUGUGUAAUAACAUUGUCAGCAAUAUUAUCUGUUUGAUUUUCAGACAAAGGGGCGGCAGAUUGAUUCGGUAGAAUAUCCUGAAUAU